ACUUAGUUAUACAACUGGCGGAAGUGGAAUGAACCACAUGGAGUAUAAUAGGAAAGAGUCGACCGUCUGGGCAAAUGUC
rnacentral:ncRNA from 2 species